rnacentral:rRNA from 1 species
GAUGAACGCUGGCGGCGUGCUUAACACAUGCAAGUCGAGCGAAGCGCUUAAGUUCGAUUCUUCGGAUGAAAACUUUUGUGACUGAGCGGCGGACGGGUGAGUAACGCGUGGGUAACCUGCCUCAUACAGGGGGAUAACAGUUAGAAAUGGCUGCUAAUACCGCAUAAGACCACAGUACUGCAUGGUACAGUGGUAAAAACUCCGGUGGUAUGAGAUGGACCCGCGUCUGAUUAGGUAGUUGGUGAGGUAACGGCCCACCAAGCCGACGAUCAGUAGCCGACCUGAGAGGGUGACCGGCCACAUUGGGACUGAUACACGGCCCAGACUCCUACGGGAGGCAGCAGUGGGGAAUAUUGCACAAUGGGCGAAAGCCUGAUGCAGCGACGCCGCGUGAAGGAUGAAGUAUUUCGGUAUGUAAACUUCUAUCAGCAGGGAAGAAAAUGACGGUACCUGACUAAGAAGCCCCGGCUAACUACGUGCCAGCCGCCGCAGUAACAC